rnacentral:rRNA from 1 species
CACCGCGGUUAUACGAGAGGCCCAAGUUGACAGAAAGCGGCGUAAAGAGUGGCUAGGGAAACGAACAAACUAGAGCCGAAAGCCUUCAAAACUGUUAUACGCCCCAUCGAAGGCACGAAGACCAAACACGAAAGUGGCCCUACUCGCCCUGACCCCACGAAAGCUAAGGCA